AAGUAAUAAUCACCAUAUUGAUCAUUUUACAGACGCGGUAGUUCUUCUGUCUUAGCGUCUCGGUCUGAUUGUAUUUCCAUGAAGAAAUGAUCAUAAAUGUUCUUCCUUGAGCUGCAGCACCCCGCUGUAGUCCGUAAUGGACUGGUCUGAGGUCUCUCUACAAACAAGCGGCUGCUGGAAGAGAGUAGGUGAGUUGUGUUUAGUCUCUUUGCUAAAGAAAUGAGUCAAAGUUAAAAAGAUGUUUGGUGUCUAGUACUAUGUCUGUGACCCUAUAUGUACUAACCUCAGUAGAACAUGGUGUAGUUCUGUUUAGUAACAGAACCUCAUUGGAAAAUUAGCUGAUUUAAGUUUACUGUGCUCUUGUUCAAAUAUAUUAACUCGACAGCACAUAUAUUCAUACCUGUUAACAAAAUCAUGAUUUUAUUGAUAAUUCAGCUCAAUAAAAACACCUUUACCUUUUCAUUUUACUACAGUAGAAGUUUCUUGGCCCAGCUUAUAGACCACAGAAGUGGAGAAACGCCCCCGCUUAAGUUAAUGUUUUCUUAGGAGUUAGAACAACUUUAAAUAUAGUACUAUGGCUGUGACCCUAUAUGUCCUGUUGAUGAAGUUAGGUGCUGUUCUGAGCAUUAUUUGUGGCUAUAGAGUGGCGUUUUGGUUGGGGGCGUGUCUCUCUGUAUUUCUAUCCUGCGGUCGUUACUAAAGUUGGUAUAACUAGAGAAGCAAGCGGUCGACAACAUUCAUCUCUGGAGGGGGGGUCUAACUCGGUGUUACGGUGGGUUUGACCCUGAAUUAAUUUUACGCCUGAAUAUCCCUUUAAAGU